GAUGAAUGCUGGCGGCGUGCUUAACACAUGCAAGUCGAACGGUGAACGAGGGAGCUUGCUCCCUCCGGAUCAGUGGCGAACGGGUGAGCAACACGUGAGCAAUCUGCCCUGGACUCUGGGAUAAGCGUUGGAAACGACGUCUAAUACCGGAUACGAGACGCGAAGGCAUCUUCAGCGUCUGGAAAGAACUUCGGUCCAGGAUGAGCUCGCGGCCUAUCAGGUAGUUGGUGAGGUAACGGCUCACCAAGCCUACGACGGGUAGCCGGCCUGAGAGGGUGACCGGCCACACUGGGACUGAGACACGGCCCAGACUCCUACGGGAGGCAGCAGUGGGGAAUAUUGCACAAUGGGCGCAAGCCUGAUGCAGCAACGCCGCGUGAGGGACGACGGCCUUCGGGUUGUAAACCUCUUUUAGCAGGGAAGAAGCGAAAGUGACGGUACCUGCAGAAAAAGCACCGGCUAACUACGUGCCAGCAGCCGCAGUAAGAC
rnacentral:rRNA from 1 species